UACGUAGGGUGCAAGCGUUGUCCGGAAUUAUUGGGCGUAAAGAGCUCGUAGGCGGUCUGUCACGUCGGCUGUGAAAUCCCGAGGCUCAACCUCGGGUCUGCAGUCGAUACGGGCAAACUAGGAGUAUUGGCAGGGGAGACUGGAAUUCCUGGUGUAGCGGUAGAAAUGCGCAGAUAUCGGGAGGAACACCGGUGGCGAAGGCGGUUCUCUGGGCCUUACCUGACGCUGAGGAGCGAAAGCGUGGGGAGCAAACAGG
rnacentral:rRNA from 1 species